rnacentral:lncRNA from 1 species
GUGAACCCAAUAGUUAAUGGGUGCUCACUUGGUGAUGUGGAAAUAGAUGUUGUUUCUGAAAAGGUCAACUUAACUCCAGGAUGGAAAUGCACUAGGAUUGGAUCUGGGCCCAUCUGUCCCAGUGCUAGAGAAGCUGGAGAUGCUGAGGGCUGUGUCCUACUGCAACAGGCUUUCCACAGAGUGGGCCAAGAAUGUCUGAAGGUGCAUGAAGGUAGGAAGAUGCAAGAAGAGCACCGAGCAGCAUGACCUCCUAAGGAGACAGUGGCCUAAUGCAAGAUUGCACCUAUAGGGAAAGAAGAGGAAUACGAAGAAACAAGAUCAAGGGACACACCUCUUCAUCAGGGUGUCCAUCGAGGUCUGGUUAGGAAAUAGAGCCCAGGAGAAAACUCAUAGCAAUCACCAGGAAGAUGACCAUGUGUGGCAGAGGCAGAGACUGGGACUCAGCUGCAAACCAAGGAACGUGAAGAAUGUUAUCAGAUGGCCACCAUCAGGCUAGGAAAAGGCAAGAAAGGAUUCUACCCAGAGUCUCAGAGGACUAUGCUCUACUGACACCUUGAUUUUGGAAUUCUUGCCUCCAACUGUGGCCCAA